ensembl:lncRNA
GUACACUUUUAUUUGUUCAGCUUUUUGAAAGGAUGAAAUAUAUAAAUUCAAUAAAUACUAUGGCAACAACAAUGGAAGAGACAUGGACAUUAAACAACAAAAAACAAACAAAAAAAACAAAGAAAGGCCUACAUUUUUCAUUGCCUAAAAGAAAUCUUCCGUCAACACUGAAUAGAGAAAGCAUAUGCUAGCUGUCAGAUAAUACUGCCCAUGACUGCGCCAACCCUGACUGCUGCUGGGCCUGGCAUGGUGUGACCUGUGCUGUGUGUAGAGAAGCGGUCUCGAACUCGCAAGCUCGGGCAUGGGAGUCGGGCAUGCUAGCAAGGAGGCUAACACCCAUAAGUCCUAGAGUCUGUCGCUAGCAUGCCUCUAAAAAGGUGUCGGGGAGGGAGGGAGGUUUACUGGCGGCACAGUGCUGUCUCACGUUGCAGUGGCCCAGGUGCGGCACAAGUCUGGCCCAGGUGCGGCACAGGUCUGGCCCAGGUCUGGCCCAUGUCUGGCCCAGGUGUGGCUGCAGUCUCAGUGUCAAUCAUAGGGUGAGCGCUGUUAGAAACCGCUGACAGGUAUCCCUCAGCUCAACUGGAGACACUGGCGUCCUCACUCUGAGGGUUAGGGUCUUUUAGCAGAAACAGAGUUCAGAGUUCAACUCCAGCCCUGUGGAUGGAUCAUGUCUGUCAGUAGGCUUCCACGCCUGAUUCACCUGGAGACUCAGUGUGGAGAGAAGCCCAGUAGGCCUGUGAGCGCGCUGCCCUCCCUCUAAGCUCUCUGAGUGCGCUGGGCUCGGAGUGAAUUGCAUAGACAAGAACAAGCAGAGGAACACAAGGGUCAAGGGUCAUGGGGAAAGCGCUCCAGAAGCAUCUCUCCCGCGGCUCCGACAGCGCUAAACGCUGAUGCCCACACCCAACGCACAGAGAACCCUCUGGGUUCUAGAGUGGCGGAUCUGGCACCGAUCGAGAAGACUCCAGAACCAGGCAACAUCUGUCCUCCGCUCAACUGGCACCGUGAGGAGACCGCUUUCCCCAUUAACAGCUACACUUGGCCUAGUGCAUAGCGCUGGAACAGAGGACAGACAGCAGCUCUAUCUGGAGCAGAACCGUGCCUUCAACAGCCAAACAUGGAGAACAGCUGGACAUGGAGAACAGCUGGCCCUUAUGCGGCGCUGAACAGUGCCGUGAUGACUGUUACAAUGGUAGAGACCAUGAUUUGAGACCAUGAAACAGUCUCUCACUUAUAGCAGUCGCAGCACAACUCAAAUCCAGCCAGCUCGGUCUCAAACUGAGAUGCCACCUGUGGCAUUGCAUGCUCAGUCCUCAACAUAGCUGGGAAACUUGCGCUUCAGACGGCGUGGCUAUGAGGGGAGCAUUUGAACAAAGCUGAGCAGAGGUGCUAAAACUGGGCAUUGGUCAGUGGAGCUGCUUAAACUGGUCACUGUUACUGCUUAAACUGGGCACUGGUACUGCUUAAUAGGGGUGGAAAAAAAAAAAUUAUCGAUUCUUCGAUUUUCUCUAGAACGAUUCUGUCUCGAUUCAGAAAAGUUCAUAAUCGUUUUUUAUUUUUUAUCGGUUUAGAAUUGAAUUGUUGACCUCUGAAUCGGAAUCGAAUCGUAAGGUGCCAAGAGAUUCCCACCCCUACUGCUUAAACUGGGCACUGCUCCCCAGGUUUGCAGGAGGACAUCCUUAAAACACAUCAGCAUACAGUCUCACUCCUCGUCCAACUCCUAACUCCCACUGCUGCUCAGACCACACUGGCAGGAGACUCGAGCUUCUCUUUGGUUUAAAAACCAGGAUUUUCCUCCUUCAUGUUAGCAUAUCACAAAAAGAAAUGACCUACAAACAAGGUUUGCAGUACACAGAGUUUGGGAAGCUGUGCUAAAACAGUGGAAAACUAUGAAAAGAAAAACAUCAAAAAUCUCCACAGUGAAACACAAGAAAACUGGGAAUGGAAAAGGGGACAGGAUACGCUGUUUGUUUCACUUCUUCUUCUUCUUCUUCUUCUUCUUCUUC